GAUAUUGACUCAAUUUUGUAGAUUAUUUGUCGCAAUUUUGUAGUGUUAUUUGGAACUAUGAUUAAAAGACAGGGUAUAAAUGUAGUUACAUUGUAGUUGAUUUGUAGUCUGCAAAGUAAAUUGUAUUUAUGCUUUUUGUAGUGCAACUUGUAUAGCUGCUACAUUUAACUUCAUGCUCAAUAAAUUUAUAGUUACAGUGUAGUUGAUUUGUUGUCUGCAAUCUUGUAGUGUUAUUUGGA
rnacentral:lncRNA from 1 species